rnacentral:SRP_RNA from 1 species
GCCGGGCGUGGUGGCUCAUGCCUGUAAUCCCAGCACUUUGGGAGGCCGAGGCGGGUGGAUCACCUGAGGUCAGGAGUUUGAGACCACCCUGGCCAACAUGGUGAAACCCCGUCUCUA